rnacentral:rRNA from 1 species
UCCGGUUGAUCCCGCCGGAGGUCACUGCUAUUGGGAUUCGACUAAGCCAUGCGAGUCGAGAGGGUUCGGCCCUCGGCUGACGGCUCAGUAACACGUGGAUAAUCUGCCCUAAGGUGGGGAAUACCCUCGGGAAACUGAGAAUAAUGCCCCAUAGGUCUAGGAUGCUGGAAUGCACUUAGGCUGAAAGUUUCGGCGCCUUAGGAUGAGUCUGCGGACUAUCAGGUUGUAGUCAGGGUAAAGACCUGACUAGCCUACGACGGAUACGGGUUGUGAGAGCAAUAACCCGGAGAUGAUAUCUGAGACACGAUAUCAGGCCCUACGGGGCGCAGCAGGCGCGAAAACUUCACAAUGCGCGAAAGCGCGAUGAGGGAAUCCCAAGUGCUUGCACGUUAGUGUAAGCUGUUUCUAUGUCUAAAACGCAUAGAGAGUAAGGGCUGGGUAAGACGGGUGCCAGCCGCCGCGGUAAUACCUGCAGCUCAAGUGGUGGCCGCUAUUAUUGGGCCUAAAACGUCCGUAGCCUGUUUAUUAAAUGCCUGGGUAAAUCGUGUAGCUUAACUAUACGAAUUCCGGGUAGACUGAUAAACUUGAGAUCGGGAGAAGUUAGAGGUACUCCUGGGGUAGAGGUGAAAUUCUGUAAUCCUAGGGGGACCACCAGUGGCGAAGGCGUCUAACUAGAACGAGUCUGACGGUGAGGGACGAAGCCCUGGGGCGCAAACGGGAUUAGAUACCCCGGUAGUCCAGGGUGUAAGCGCUGCUUGCUUGAUGUUAGUCGGGCUCCGAGCCCGAUUAGUGUCGGAGAGAAGUUGUUAAGCAAGCUGCCUGGGAAGUACGAUCGCAAGACUGAAACUUAAAGGAAUUGGCGGGGGAGCACAGCAACGGGUGGAGCGUGCGGUUUAAAUGGAUUCAACGCCGG